rnacentral:rRNA from 1 species
CCUUGAAAUACCACCCUUUAAUGUUUGAUGUUCUAACGUUGACCCGUGAUCCGGGUUGCGGACAGUGUCUGGUGGGUAGUUUGACUGGGGCGGUCUCCUCCUAAAGAGUAACGGAGGAGCACGAAGGUUGGCUAAUCCUGGUCGGACAUCAGGAGGUUAGUGCAAUGGCAUAAGCCAGCUUGACUGCGAGCGUGACGGCGCGAGCAGGUGCGAAAGCAGGUCAUAGUGAUCCGGUGGUUCUGAAUGGAAGGGCCAUCGCUCAACGGAUAAAAGGUACUCCGGGGAUAACAGGCUGAUACCGCCCAAGAGUUCAUAUCGACGGCGGUGUUUGGCACCUCGAUGUCGGCUCAUCACAUCCUGGGGCUGAAGUAGGUCCCAAGGGUAUGGCUGUUCGCCAUUUAAAGUGGUACGCGAGCUGGGUUUAGAACGUCGUGAGACAGUUCGGUCCCUAUCUGCCGUGGGCGCUGGAGAACUGAGGGGGGCUGCUCCUAGUACGAGAGGACCGGAGUGGACGCAUCACUGGUGUUCGGGUUGUCAUGCCAAUGGCACUGCCCGGUAGCUAAAUGCGGAAGAGAUAAGUGCUGAAAGCAUCUAAGCACGAAACUUGCCCCGAGAUGAGUUCUCCCUGACUCCUUGAGAGUCCUGAAGGAACGUUGAAGACGACGACGUUGAUAGGCCGGGUGUGUAAGCGCAGCGAUGCGUUGAGCUAACCGGUACUAAUGAACCGUGAGGCUUAACCUUACAACGCCGAAGCUGUU